AGGAUAAUAGUUAAAUUAACAUUUAAUUUGCAAUUAAAAAAUAUUGAUUAAUCAAUUUAUCUU
rnacentral:tRNA from 1 species